CGAAGGCCUCUUUUCGCUCGCCUCCCCCUUUCGCUCUCUCUUUAUCUCACGGCUGGGCUCAUUCAAAGCCCAUUUUUUCGUUCUCUUUCACUCCAUCCCUUUCUGUCUCCGUCGCCCUCCGCCCCGCGCUCCUUUCCCGUGUCCUGCACUUAACUGUAAAUGAAACCCAGACGGGACGGGCUGGAUUACAAUGUAAAAUAAAAGCCGCCGAUCACGUGACAGAUAAAACCGCCAAGAUGGAGGGGGAGGAAAAUCAUAAAGAAGCAGAGAGGAGUGUCUCUCUGGGGUAUGACAGCAUUAACAAGCAUUGCUUGAAAACCCACAUUCCCAGCAGAUGCUGCGCGGCGUGGAGAUGCAGGUGUUUCUGGACAGACUAUACAUCAAGCCACAUUUAAGCGCAUCAGACGACUAGAGCAAAGAUGAAACUAGAAGAGUGUCGCCCAGCUGACAGACCCCAGUGUUGCUGCAUCUCCCUCAAGGAGGAGUCUAAGCUUUGCUGCAGAGGUGUUUAAAAACCCAUCUGGCACUUUGUAGACAGAAAACCUGGAUUGCGUAUUUCACCCCUGCAUCGCUUCUUUGCACUACUUCCUGCCAUUGAUCAGAGGAAACAGGAAGUGCGGUGGUUCUGAGACGAUGCGAGCACACUCUCCGGUCCCCUCUGGAAUAAUAAUCAGACUCCAUUUUCUCUGCUCACUAGCCAUCACUCUGAUUAAUACCCAUGAGUGCGGGCUCUGGUGCCUGUAUUUACAGAGGGGCAGCUGCUGUGCUGGAGUCAGCAUGCAGCCUCCUCUGUUUUGCACCAGAAACCACUACAGUGGCAGUGCGAGGCUUAACGAACCAAUAAAAGCAGCUUUAUUCAUGGCUAAUUGAGAAAGAGACACAAAAUGCUUGCACAGAGAGUUAACGUCUGACCUCAACAGCGGUUUUGUGUGUAUGUAUCAAAUUGUUCUCUUAACAAACAGCAUGUGGACUAAUCUUUCAUCACUGUCUUUAAAAUGCGCCUGUUUGGGGUUUUUUUUGGCAGAA